rnacentral:tRNA from 1 species
GGUGAGGUGGCCGAGCCGGCUGAAGGCACUCGCCUGCUAAGCGAGUAGGGUGGCUAAAACCGCCCUCCAGGGUUCGAAUCCCUGCCUCACCGCCA